AUCACCUCCAGCAUUCCCAGUAUUGGAGGCAUUGCCUGCCCAGUGACAACUGUUUAACGGCCGCGGUAUCCUGACCGUGCAAAGGUAGCAUAAUCAUUUGUUCUCUAAAUAAGGACUUGUAUGAAUGGCCGCACGAGGGUUUUACUGUCUCUUACUUCCAAUCAGUGAAAUUGACCUUCCCGUGAAGAGGCGGGAAUGCACAAAUAAGACGAGAAGACCCUAUGGAGCUUUAACUAACCAACCCAAAGAGAAUAAAUUUAACCAUUAAGGAGUAACAACAAUCUCCAUGAGUUGGUAGUUUCGGUUGGGGUGACCUCGGAGAAUAAAAAACCCUCCGAGCGAUUUUAAAGACUAGACCCACAAGUCAAAUCACUCUAUCGCUCAUUGAUCCAAAAACUUGAUCAACGGAACAAGUUACCCUAGGGAUAACAGCGCAAUCCUAUUCAAGAGUCCAUAUCGACAAUAGGGUUUACGACCUCGAUGUUGGAUCAGGACAUCCUGAUGGUGCAACCGCUAUCAAAGGUUCGUUUGUUCAACGAUUAAAGUCCUA
rnacentral:rRNA from 1 species